GAGUUUUCCCGCUCAUUUAUUCAUCUACGUAAAUGCCAUUGAAUCAAAUUGAAUCAAAGUUCAAACUGAUGCAAUAAAUCCGAAAAUUUUAGCUGUCAAUUGCAAUUUCGUGCGUGAUUUGAGGAGAUUAGAUUAGUAAUUUGAAAAUUUCAGUUAUCACCUCCUUAUCUUCACGCUCUUCUGGUUUUGCGCAUAUUUAGCUGGGAGGAAUCGAAAGGAGCGUGAAUAAGAUGAGUGUCCGAUGGUGCCCUGUUAUUGUCUCUGUUCUUGGGCUAUUGGUGUUCGAAUCCGCUUUGUUUGUUGAUGGAGGAACAACCAGUAGUUUUGUAAGAAAAUAUGAGAAAACUAUCGAUAUGCCUGUUGACAGUGAUGUGUUUACUAAGUCUCCCGGUUAUAAUGCGCCUCAACAGGUUCAUAUAACCCAAGGUGAUCAUGUGGGGAAGGCAAUGAUUGUAUCUUGGGUGACAAUGGAGGAACCAGGUUCAGAUACAGUUGUUUAUUGGAGUGAAGACAACAGUAGUCAGAACACAACUAAGGGCAUUAUUACCACCUACACAUACUACGAUUAUACUUUUGGAUUCAUCCAUCAUUGCAAUCUUACUGAUUUGGAGUGCAGUGCAGUGCAGGAGCAGAAGAAAAUAAAACAGCGAACUCGACAUCCAUUCUUCGAUUAGCUGAAUCAAGAGGAAUGUGGGCACUUUUGUCGAUCUACUGGUUCAUGAGGAAGAGUGGUGGCUAUGGAUGAGGAGAGGAUUGCAGGUUGCUGUCGUGGAUUUUGGCACAAAUUGUUUAACAUGAGCUUUAUGGUUGACCAUGUGUUGAUACUUGAUACAUGUGAAGGAAUAUCCACAUUUCCCUUAUUUACUUCAUCUUGGAAUCCACGUAAAGUGAACAAGAUUUUGGUAUUUUUCAUUUUUUUUCAAAAUUGUUUACUGAGUGAUUGAAUUUUUUGAAUCAUCAUAUUUCACUUUUUCAUUGCAUACUAAGCAUCAUUCUUGUGAAAAUAUAGAAAUACUCUACAAUAUACAAAAAAAUACUUGUAAUCUUUUACCGUUUUACAAAGUAAACAAUUCAAAUUUAUGCAGUGAUUAAACCAUCUUACCUUUUUUACUGUUAAAUAAAAAAAAAUUAAUUAGUUACCUGAUGUAUUUUGAUCAGUAUAAAUGUGUUAUUAAAUUUAGAAGGAAGAUCAUUAGUAUCUUAAUUCGAAAUAAAGGCCGAUUUGGUCUUUUUUUGGUGGAUAUAAAUUUCGAUAGUGUUAAAGUUGAUUUUAUGGUUCUGGGUUAUUUUCACUGGAAAAAGAAAGAUAAGAGGAUAUGUUUACAAAGGAAUUUGAAGUCUUCAUUUAAUAAUUUGGAAAAAGGGCAUUUCAGUCUUUUUAUGAAUUUUGGCAUAUGUGAUAGUUCUCUGGUUAGUUCGGAUAUUUGAUUUUAUAUUAGACAGGUGGGGCUUCGGAUUUUAUUUGAAGUCUUUCGAGUCUGGACCGUCUGGUGCAAUAAUAAGUUCUGAGGGUACUUUGGUCCUUUUUCUGGAUUAUUACAAGAAUGUGUUUUUUACUGUGAUAGCAAAUGAAGUUUCAAUGCCUAUGUGGUUAUUGAAUCAAUUGCCAUUGGAUUCAGGGGAUAUGCAAUCUUUAUUAUACCAAAAGAUCUAAGGGAUAUUUUCGGUAUUUUCUUAAUACAAAAAUAACCUAUUGGAUAUUUUAUUUAGAUUCCAAUCCUUGCUAUUUUGAUUUUACUCAUUAUUGUUACAGUAGUUGUUGGUGGCGUGCUCAAGCCAUGGGAAAGUGUCUUUGCAUACAUACAACACCCAUUCAGAUUUUAGUGUGACCUGUUCUUGUGUAAAUUGAGAGCAUUUUUAUUUUUCUUUUUGUUCCAAUUGUUGACUUAAUGUUGUCUUUGAAUGUGUUUGACUGUAUUUGUUC